AAUAUUGGGGCGUAAGCGCGCGCAGGCGGUCAUUUAAGUCUGGUGUUUAAUCCCGGGGCUCAACCCCGGAUCGCACUGGAAACUGGGUGACUUGAGUGCAGAAGAAGAGAGUGGAAUUCCACGUGUAGCGGUGAAAUGCGUAAAUAUGUGGAGGAACACCAGUGGCGAAGGCGACUCUCUGGGCUGUAACUGACGCUGAGGCGCGAAAGCGUGGGGAGCAAACAGGAUUAAAUACCCUGGUAGUCCACGCCGUAAACGAUGAGUGCUAGGUGUUAGGGGUUUCGAUACCCUUGGUGCCGAAGUUAACACAUUAAGCACUCCGCCUGGGGAGUACGGUCGCAAGACUGAAACUCAAAGGAAUUGACGGGGACCCGCACAAGCAGUGGAGUAUGUGGUUUAAUUCGAAGCAACGCGAAAAACCUUACCAGGUCUUGACAUCCCUCUGAGCGGGG
rnacentral:rRNA from 1 species